AGAGUAACUGGGAAAGAACUUCUCAUGACGUUCCUGUGGCUUCUUGCAGCUUCCGCUGACUCAUGAUGGAGCCUCGUGAUUUAGUUACUGGACCGGGCUGCCGCUGCUGAUUCAUGUAUGGUGUCUGCCGAGUGGACUGGACCGAAGCUACUGAUUCAUGGUUGGAGGUUUGCUAGUAGGCUGAACUGCUGAUAUCCUAACAACGAAGACUAGAAUCACCCCAAUGAACUGUGAACAACAUUGUCAAGCCAACAGUAUUUACUACCACAC
rnacentral:lncRNA from 1 species